rnacentral:rRNA from 1 species
GCAUGUGUGUUUUAUGAGCCAUCUACAAGAACCUGCUCGUCAUUUCAAGCUGCUAUGCAAAGGCUGGGUGGCACCACAAUAUAUGUGACCGAGAGCAGCAGCAGCGUG